AGCACCUAAAGUGCCUUUUCAUGCAAUUUCAGAUGGAAACUACUUGUUUGAGUAUUAUGCAAAUAAAAUGCAAUUCUGCUCAUUAAUCCACUACUGGAUCUGCAUUAGGAAGUAUGAGCUGAACUUUCAACAGUGAUGGGAUAAGGCUCGGUUUGGGCCUUCACUGCCCCAUAAAUAAGAGGUCAGGGCCAGAACAACAUUAAUACAUAUAAUCUUAUUUUUUCACUGCUGUUUAAUUCACAUUGGACAACUAACUCUAUAUCUAGAACCACUUUUAAAAAAAUGUAUUCAUU